AUACGGAGGGGGUUAGCGUUGUUCGGAAUUACUGGGCGUAAAGCGCGCGUAGGCGGAUUGGUAAGUUAGAGGUGAAAUCCCGGGGCUCAACCCCGGAACUGCCUUUGAUACUGCCAGUCUUGAGUUCGAGAGAGGUGAGUGGAAUUCCGAGUGUAGAGGGGAAAUUCGUAGAUAUUCGGAGGAACACCAGUGGCGAAGGCGGCUCACUGGCUCGAUACUGACGCUGAGGUGCGAAAGCGUGGGGAGCAAACAGGAUUAGAAACCCCAGUAGUCC
rnacentral:rRNA from 1 species